AUUCGAGAACAAGAUCCACGAAAACAAGGAUUGAGAC
rnacentral:other from 1 species